rnacentral:rRNA from 1 species
GCCUACGGGACGCAGCAGUGAGGAAUAUUGGUCAAUGGGCGGGAGCCUGAACCAGCCAAGCCGCGUGAGGGAAGAAGGUACAGAGUAUCGUAAACCUCUUUUGUCAGGGAACAAAGGCGGGGACGCGUCCCCGGAUGAGUGUACCUGAAGAAAAAGCAUCGGCUAACUCCGUGCCAGCAGCCGCGGUAAUACGGAGGAUGCGAGCGUUAUCCGGAUUUAUUGGGUUUAAAGGGUGCGCAGGCGGUCUGUUAAGUCAGCGGUCAAAGCCCGGGGCUCAACCCCGGCCCGCCGUUGAAACUGGCAGG